rnacentral:rRNA from 1 species
UACGUAGGGAGCAAGCGUUGUCCGGAAUCACUGGGCUUAAAGAGUCCGUAGGCGGCUUGUUAGGUGAGGUGUGAAAUCCCUCGGCCCAACCGAGGAAUUGCGCCUCAAACCGGCAAGCUAGAGGAGGAUAGAGGUGGGCGGAACUGAUGGUGGAGCGGUGAAAUGCGUUGAUAUCAUCAGGAACACCGGAGGCGAAGGCGGUCCACUGGGUCCUUUCUGACGCUGAGGGACGAAAGCUAGGGGAGCGAACGGG